CGUGAGAUGUUGGGUUAAGUCCCGCAACGAGCGCAACCCUGUCCUAUGUUGCCAGCGGGUCAUGCCGGGGACUCAUGGGAGACUGCCGGGGUCAAACUCGGAGGAAGUGGGAUGACGUCAAAUCAUCAUGCCCCUUAUGUCUUGGGCUUCACGCAUGCUACAAUGGCCGGUACAAAGGGCUGCGAUACCGCGAGGUGGAGCGAAUCCCAGAAAGCCGGUCUCAGUUCGGAUUGGGGUCUGCAACUCGACCCCAUGAAGUCGGAGUCGCUAGUAAUCGCAGAUCAGCAACGCUGCGGUCGAAUACGUUCCCGGGCCUU
rnacentral:rRNA from 1 species